UGUCUGUUAGCUCAGUCGGAAGAGCAACCGGUUGAAACCCGGUGCGCGCAGGUUCGAUCCCUGCACAGGCAAC
rnacentral:tRNA from 4 species